AAUAUUCGGUCAAGUAUCAAUCUUGCAAAAGCAAUACUUACAUCUGGGUGGAGUAUACUGUGUAUUCUGCUCUUUGUUAAAAUGUCCAUGUAUAUUUGAAUACGCUAGUAUUACGGAAGACACCAUAACAUAAGGACAGUGCUUACACACCGUGUCCAUUCCAACAGAGCAUGUGACGACCGGGGUGUUGAUUUUUCACCACUUCGGCAGCGGACAAACUUCACAAAAUGGAUGAAGACAACGAAAUAGAAGCGGCAAACACAAGUUCAUGUUUCAACUAUAUAUGCCAGUUUUGUGCAAAAACAAUUAGACAUAAAUCCUCUCUACUAAGACACAUAUUAAUGCAUGAAAACAAGGAAUACGCCUGUGACCAAUGUCAAAAAACUUUUAAAUCCAAAAUUUACUUGUCGCAGCAUGUUAAACAGAAACACCAGGAGAGUCCAUCAGAGUUUAUUUGUCAACACUGUGGUAAGACAUUUAACAGUAAAGUAGCCAUUGCAAAUCAUGUUAAAUUUAAACACAAUGAUGGAGGACGAACGUGCAAUACUUGUGACAAAAAAUUCAAAGACAACUAUGCCUUGCAACGGCAUUUGAAAUCUCACGACAAUACUACAAAUCCAUGUCCAAAAUGUGGGAAAGAAUUCAAAGAUGUAAAAAAUCACGUCAAAGUGUGCGGGACAAAGAAACUGCCCAGGCAGUACUGCUGUGACCUUUGUGACAAAAUGUUUCUCUGCAAGCGCUACCUCAGGGGCCACUUGAAGAACAAACACAGAGGAGGAAAUUUUCACCCGUGUGCCUGUGGAAAAACAUUUUCAUAUAAAUGUUCAUUGAAAAGACAUCAGAAGAUAUGUACAUAUGAACACUGAUGCAUUUUUUGCUGAAUGUUUUGAAAUGUUUAUCAUACAUUCAUGGUGUUAUGUUUUGUUUUGAGGCAUUAGGAGUAAUAUCCAUUUUUUUAAAAACUUAUUUUUGUUUUUUAAUAUACGCAAAUGUUGAUGAUCUUGUAUUUGAAGCUAUUCGUUGCUGAAAACUUUUUUUUUAAAAAUUUUAUUUUAUUAAAUUGAUACCUACGUAUA